rnacentral:rRNA from 1 species
AGCCAGACUCCUACGGGAGGCAGCAGUGGGGAAUAUUGCACAAUGGGGGAAACCCUGAUGCAGCGACGCCGCGUGAGCGAUGAAGUAUUUCGGUAUGUAAAGCUCUAUCAGCAGGGAAGAAGAUGACGGUACCUGACUAAGAAGCCCCGGCUAACUACGUGCCAGCAGCCGCGGUAAUACGUAGGGGGCAAGCGUUAUCCGGAUUUACUGGGUGUAAAGGGAGCGUAGACGGCGAUGCAAGCCAGAUGUGAAAGCCCGGGGCUCAACCCCGGGACUGCAUUUGGAACUGUGUGGCUGGAGUGUCGGAGAGGCAGGCGGAAUUCCUAGUGUAGCGGUGAAAUGCGUAGAUAUUAGGAGGAACGCCAGUGGCGAAGGCGGCCUGCUGGACGAUGACUGACGUUGAGGCUCGAAAGCGUGGGGAGCAAACAGGAUUAGAUACCCUCGUA